UACGUAGGGGGCAAGCGUUGUCCGGAUUUAUUGGGCGUAAAGCGCGUGUAGGCGGCUUUGCAAGUCGGGUGUGAAAGCCCUCAGCUCAACUGAGGAAGUGCGCCCGAAACUGCAUGGCUUGAGUACCGGAGAGGAUGGUGGAAUUCCCCAAGUAGAGGUGAAAUUCGUAGAUAUGGGGAGGAACACCGGUGGCGAAGGCGACCAUCUGGACGGAUACUGACGCUGAGACGCGAAAGCGUGGGUAGCAAACAGG
rnacentral:rRNA from 1 species